rnacentral:rRNA from 1 species
GACGAACGCUGGCGGCGUGCCUAACACAUGCAAGUUGAGCGACGAACCAGGGCUUGCCCUGGGGCAAAGCCGCGAACGGGUGAGUAACACGUGGGUAACCUACCCCGAUAACCGGGACAACCCGAGGAAACUCGGGCUAAUACCGGAUGUGCUCACUGGACUUCGGUUCAGUGCGUAAAGGAAGCUUCGGCCUCCGUAUCGGGAGGGGCCCGCGGCCCAUUAGUUUGUUGGUGAGGUAACGGCUCACCAAGACCGCGAUGGGUAGCUGGUCUGAGAGGACGAUCAGCCACACUGGGACUGAGACACGGCCCAGGCUCCUACGGGAGGCAGCAGUGGGGAAUCUUGCGCAAUGCGCGAAAGCGUGACGCAGCAACGCCGCGUGGGGGAAGAAGGCCUUCGGGUUGUAAACCCCUUUCAGGAGGGACGAAGGUUCGGCGGUGAAUAGCCGUCCGGACUGACGGUACCUCCACAAGAAGCCCCGGCUAACUACGUG